AUUUUAUUAAUGGGGACUUAAUUGCCACAGAACCAUUAUCUUAGAACUUCCAGAUUCUGCAGGCCCCUGGAGUUCCGGCCAUGCCACUGGUCACAGUGAAUAAUUCCAAAAAUCUGAACUCAUUCCUACCCCCAAGAAAACUUAAGAGCAUCUUACACUAAAAAGGCAUAACCUUCCUGUUAACCUAAGUGGGUUUUUUUUCACCCACCCAAGCCAAGAACCAAACCAGCCUACCAGGAUCUGACUGACGAAUGGGCCAGUGCCCUCAUUUCACUCACAGUCCUCAGAGGCAACAACUCUCCCGGUGCAUUAGGUCCUAGAAACCAAAUUAUAGGCUGCCUCAUAAAUGGAGCUUGGCUAUUUAAUCAACUGCCUCUGAGCUGGCAAACAGUCCUGAGUCCUGCACACAAAUGAGGAAAUUUUUACAUGCAAUUACCCUGCCAUUUUCCUCAGAGCUGGAGUGUAAUGGGAAACCUGGAGCCCAGUGAAAAUCUGGAAGCCAGAAUGGAUUUGUCUCCAGAGGAAGUCCUCAUCUCCUUUCUUCACUGGCUGGGAAAUUUGGAUUUGCCAAAAUCCCUUUCCUACACGUGGGAACACUGUUUUGAAAACAGCCACCAUUUUUAUCUAGCAGUAAGGAGAGUUCUUAUCACCGUCCCCGACCGCACGGUACUCGGCAAACGUGGACUGGAUCUCCGGCCCGGAGGAUCAGGAGGAGUUUUUGCACGCAGCCUUAACUCCCGCGGCGGCGGCGGCGGCGGCAUCCAAGGAGGGGGGGCAGGGCUGCCAGGACAAACCGACUGAAAAUGGCAGAGGAUGUGCUUUCAUUUUAUCCCGCUGCAGUGUGCACGGAUUGGGCCCGAAAAUAAGGGAACAGCCUAUUAAAAUCCACGCAGUCAACUACAAAAUGUGGAACCGAGGCCUGAAAGGUUUGCUAAGAGAGGGAAACGUUUCCAGGGAGGAUAGCCCUUCCUCUCUCGCAAUUUGCUUCCCCUGAGUGUCCGAAAUACAAAAGUCAA
rnacentral:lncRNA from 1 species